rnacentral:rRNA from 1 species
UUCUUCUUAUAGUUGAGGUAGGCCCUGUUCUAUGGUUGUAAAUGACUGCAGUAUUUUGACUGUGCUAAGGUAGCAUAAUAAUUUUUUCUUUAAUUGAGAGGUGGAAUGAAUGGGUUAACGAAAUAUUGGCUUUAUUGGCCUAAUUUGUAGAAUUUAAUUUUAAGGUUAAAAUUCUUUAGUGAUUUAGAGGGACGACAAGACCCUAAGAAAUUUUAUCAUUGAUGUUUGGGUUAAAAUGUUGGUGUUUUGGCUGGGGCGGUCUUAUUUUUAAGCAAAUUGGUAAUGUAGCACGGUGUGUGGUUUUGGUGAGCUUGGGUUAAAACUGAAGUUUAAUUACUCUAGGGAUAACAGCGCAAUUGUUUUGGAGAGUUCAAAUCGAUAGAAUAGUUUGCGACCUCGAUGUUGAAUUAAGUGGCUUUUUUGGGUAGAAGAAAAAAGUAGCAGGUCUGUUCGACCUUUAAUUUCUU